GGGACAACCCGCCGAAAGGCGGGCUAAGCCCGCGUACAUGCCACCGGGGCAUCCCGGAGGCAGGAAAGGCUUCGGCCGGACAGGGAUGGGCAUGCGGCGCAUUAGGCAGUAGGCGGGGUAACGGCCCACCUAACCGACGAUGCGUAGGGGUUCUGAGAGGAAGGUCCCCCACACUGGUACUGAGACACGGACCAGACUCCUACGGGAGGCAGCAGUGAGGAAUAUUGGUCAAUGGUCGGGAGACUGAACCAGCCAAGCCGCGUGAGGGAUGAAGGUACAGAGUAUCGUAAACCUCUUUUGUCAGAGAACAAAGGCGGGGACGUGUCCCCGGAUGAGUGUACCUGAAGAAAAAGCAUCGGCUAACUCCGUGCCAGCAGCCGCGGUAAUACGGAGGAUGCGAGCGUUAUCCGGAUUUAUUGGGUUUAAAGGGUGCGCAGGCGGUCUGUUAAGUCAGCGGUCAAAGCCCGGGGCUCAACCCCGGCCCGCCGUUGAAACUGGCAGUCUCGAGUUGGAGAGAAGUAUGCGGAAUGCGCGGUGUAGCGGUGAAACGCAUAGAUAUCGCGCAGAACUCCGAUUGCGAAGGCAGCAUGCCGGCUCCACACUGACGCUGAGGCACGAAAGCGUGGGUAUCGAACAGGAUUAGAUACCCUGGUAGUCCACGCAGUAAACGAUGCAUGCAGGCUGUCCG
rnacentral:rRNA from 1 species